GUGAAUCAUCGAAUCUUUGAACGCACAUUGCGCCCGCCAGUAUUCUGGCGGGCAUGCCUGUUCGAGCGUCAUUUCAACCCUCAAGCUCUGCUUGGCGUUGGGGAUCGGCAGCCCGGCUUCGCGCCGCGCCGUCCCCCAAAUACAGUGGCGGUCUCGCUGCAGCUUCCUUUGCGUAGUAGCACACCUCGCACCGGAGAGCAGCGCGGCCACGCCGUAAAACCCCCGACUUCUUGUUUUUGACCUCGAAUCAGGUAGGACUACCCGCUGAACUUAAGCAUAUCAAUAAGCGGAGGA
rnacentral:misc_RNA from 1 species